GAAUAGUAUGACUCCCGUAGGAACCCCCUCGCUAGGGUUAUGCAAAAAAUUGAAUGCGCCAUAUGGACAAGUACCAUAAAUGCGCAUUCAAUCCAGUCAUUCACCGUCGGACUAUCGAACGAUGCCAUGAUAAGAGCUGAGGCGAUUAUCCUUUUUACAGAUUUCAACCUGGCUCUCAAAUGCCACUGUAUCCUUCGUCCAGACCAGGACUUUUAGUUUCUUUGCAAAAUUCAAAGUUCAUUUAAAAUUUUCUUUUUUUUACCCCUCACAGGAAAUCAAUAUUGCUUCUAACAACGCAAGUCUGACCAAGCACACGGUU
rnacentral:misc_RNA from 1 species